AGCCGUUCUCUGCUGUAUUUUACGUCUAUUCUGGUGUGUUUCGACCUGGGAGCGAGGUCUUGGGGCCUGUUGGCAACCGGACAGAAGUGGGCAGGCAGAGAGGGCACAGCCCACUUCGCUAGUCUCUACCCCCCCAGCCCCCUGGCUCAGCUGGGGUUUGCUCGCAACUACACAGCUCAGCCUUUCCCUCCUUCUGACGACCGGACAAAUGGAUGUGGAAGUGUGUUCUCCGAUUGGCCCUCCAUGUCGACCCCUCCUGCGAGUCUUUCUGUUCGGUUCUGCCGAUCGCUCUGGGCCUACGCUACGUGACAUCUACUGCUAGCCCGUCCUGUAGAAAACCCCCCGUCCCCCCUUCGAGAAUCGCCGCCAUUUCGGGUUUGAGAUGGAGGCCUAACGACAUAUAUCCGAACGACAUUUAAGGGAUUUUAAUGCAGAUUUCUACCUAUACCGACGUCGAGUAUUGAAGGUUUGCGUUAAGGUAGGGGUUAUACACGUUGCUAAUUUUCAAAGAAACUUAAGGUGGUUCAAGUGGCGACCGAUUGAAUGAUUGAAAUGUAAUUGUAUGUACCAGUAAGCGUAUACGAUGAAGUUAUCGUAAAGUUUACAACCAAAGCGAUGCUUAACCCAGCAGUACUAACUCCUGUGGUUGUGGUAGGCCUGAUUAUUUGAUCCUUCCUCGAAGUGACUACACCCCCCAUGGGAGCGAGGGGAAACAACGCAGUAAAGAAGUCUAUGAGUUCGGUCGCGAAACGUUGUUGUCGUUGUAGUAGCACUGUAUGCAACAGAAGGUGAAAAGCCGAUCAAACGAAAGACCACAAACCACCACGAAAACACUGACCGCCGUCGACCAGCGAUACGGGACGGGGCCUCCCGUCCUAAAACAAAUGAAGGUUAUCGAUCGCCACGGAGACAUCGACUGCCCGAAUCUCGAUUGUCUGCCAUGUGGUGGGGUCUCGAUCCCGAUCUUACCGCCCGGAGUGGGGAGGCAUGCUCCUCGGAGAACCGGUGUGAACCAGAUCCCUGAUUGUUCUGUACAUGAAGGGGCUCGUAAUGAAACCGUUCAGGGUCUCCAUUUUAGAUCGAGGCCUCUGUUUAGGCCUGGGUGCUAACGACAUGCAAGGGACUCCAAGCAAAUAAACAAAAUGGAGAUUCCUUCUAAGCAACGACCACCAGAUUGAAAGCCCGGCGAGGUUCAACCUGCCGCGCGCUCAACAUCAGGUUAACGCUGCGUGCCAUCAUGAACAUGGAUGAUGGUUACAUUUCGGAACCGUCUCUCUGGUCGGUCCCGGUUUCCGACCGGUUCUCGCUCUGCGGUUCGUCUGGCAGAGAGCCGUAGGCUACACUGUCGUCCGUUAUUUUGCUCUCAACAACAGCCUUGUUGAUAGGGCAUCUUCUGGUUGCUUGGCAGCCCAGCCCCGUCCCCCUCCCCCCUCUCGCCCACCUCUCCGUACCCCCAUCGCCAUGGGCACAGCCGGGCUGCGUCCCCCAACAUCCCUCCUGUUUCGCUCCCAUUCAGACGCCGUUUGGCAGCCCACACAAUGCCCAUUUUCUUGGCACUCGAUUGCGCGACGAAGGAGAGGGAGCCAUGGAGGGCGAGCGAGCCAAACAGAGAGAGCGAGAGACAGACCUCCGCCGUGAAACCCCCCCCCGCCGUGCCACCGUUCACACGGACCGAUGCCAACUGCCGUCCUUCACCCCCUCCGUCGAGACGCUCCCGCUCAUAAACCCCUUCCUCCUCCUCGUCGGAGCCCUUUGGAUAAUGCUUGCAACGGAUUUAUUAAUAUAGAAAUGUUUUUUUUUAUGACAUUCUGAAAGUUUUCGCGAUUUUAAACUUUGCAAACCGCCGCUGCUGUCUGGUGUCGUAACGGAAGUUUACCAGAAGGUAGAGCGUUGUGGUUCUGCGUGCUGAAGGGCACGGAUUUCCAACUGACUUUUUUUUACACAAGGGCAGCCAUUUUCUUUUCGCCGCCGACUUCCGUGGCAGCCUGGGAAAACACGGUUAAAGUCACGAGUCACGGGUCAGAGUAACAUCCAUGGACAUAUUGAAUGCAUAUCUCGGUAGCAUGCGGCGCUAUACGCAUGUGCGAAUCGUAGCUAUAAAAAAACACAUGGAUAUCAUCUAGAACAAUAUGUGACUGACAAUGCAUCCCUUUACUUUGCUUCAUUGAUCUUGUUUUUGUUCAUUUGUCUUUCCUUAUUUAUUGUUGUUACUGUUUAGCGAUGUAGAUAACUAUUUACGCUAUUUUUGGAAAAAGGUCAAAUAUGACAAAAGGCUCAAUUAUUUAUUGGUGUGACUGCAUGGUAGCGUCUUUUGCAUGACCUGAAACUAAUGUGAAUGGGUUAACUUAAAAACUUCACAACAGAUUUUGGGUUUUUAUCGUCGUGGCUGGCAAACAUUACUACAAGGUUAUACUGUAACUUUGUGGAUAGACCAAACUGCAGCACGUGUUUGUGGGUGUGUGUGUGUUUGUGUGUGUGUGUGUGUGUGUGUGUGUGUGUGUGUGUGUGUGUGUGUGUGUGUGUGUGUGUGUGUGUGUGUGUGUGUGUGUGUGUGUGUGUGUGUGUGUGUGUGUGUGUGAUUGUAUGUAUGUGUGUGUGUGUGUGUGUGUGCGCCUGGCCCCCAGAUAUGCUUAUCAAAGCCGCUCUACGUGGCCGGGUUCUUAUCAGUGACUAAUCCAACUGUUUUGAGGUUCUUGAGGUGUAGUCCGGCCCAACACCACAACGCACAAAGAUUGUUCGCAAUCAACGCAAACGUCUCUCGCUCAUAAGGCUCAGAGAAAUGCACUUAGUGUCGUGUUCCACCCCGGGUAGCCAGUGCAGAGAGAGUUUGAUAGCAUUUUCCUUCUAAUUAAUUCAACAUCUCUAUCAAGGCCUCCCUUGCCUUUUCAGUCAACCCCCCCCCCCACC
ensembl:lncRNA